rnacentral:rRNA from 1 species
AGUGGCGGACGGGUGAGUAACGCGUGAGAAUCUGCCUUGGGGUCGGGGACAACCACUGGAAACGGUGGCUAAUACCGGAUAAGCCGAUCGGUGAAAGAUUUAUUGCCCGAAGAGGAGCUCGCGUCUGAUUAGCUAGUUGGUGAGGUAAGAGCUCACCAAGGCAGCGAUCAGUAGCUGGUCUGAGAGGACGAUCAGCCACACUGGGACUGAGACACGGCCCAGACUCCUACGGGAGGCAGCAGUGGGGAAUUUUCCGCAAUGGGCGAAAGCCUGACGGAGCAAGACCGCGUGAGGGAGGAAGGCUCUUGGGUUGUAAACCUCUUUUCUCAGGGAAGAAGCUCUGACGGUACCUGAGGAAUCAGCCUCGGCUAACUCCGUGCCAGCAGCCGGUAAUACGGAGGAGGCAAGCGUUAUCCGGAAUUAUUGGGCGUAAAGCGUCCGCAGGUGGCGAUUCAAGUCUGCUGUCAAAGCACGGGGCUUAACUCCGUAAAGGCAGUGGAAACUGAAUAGCUAGAGUGCCGUAGGGGUAGAGGGAAUUCCCGGUGUAGCGGUGAAAUGCGUAGAGAUCGGGAAGAACAUCGGUGGCGAAAGCGCUCUACUGGACGGCAACUGACACUCAGGGACGAAAGCUAGGGGAGCGAAUGGGAUUAGAUACCCC